UCUGAGGGAAGGCCGCCGGCUGAGGUACCUCACAUCCUGCAUCAAUAAGGAUGCCGGCAAGGCUGGCUUCCCCUUCCCCUGCAUCGCUGCGAGCGGGAUCUGCUGUUGGAGGUCCAUGGAAGAUGCCGCAGGCUGCUUUGUGCUGGAGAGCGGUUGAGUUACAGCCCUGGCUCAGAGUCGCGUGUUUUCCUGAUGUUUUACCCCAAGGAGCAGGGUUUGGCUGUGGAAGAGCAGUACUGAGAACGCUUCACAAAGAUGUAAGAGCCGGGAGAAAAAUAUAAUGUGGAAAAA